UACAGGGGGUGCAAACGUUGCUCGGAAUCAUUGGGCGUAAAGCGCACGUAGGCGGUUCGUUAUGUCGGAUGUGAAAGCCCUUGGCUUAACCGAGGAAGUGCAUCCGAAACUGGCGAGCUAGAGUACUAAAGAGGAUCGCGGAAUUCCCGGUGUAGAGGUGAAAUUCGUAGAUAUCGGGAAGAACACCCGUGGCGAAGGCGGUUCUCUGGGACGGUACUGACGCUGAGACGCGAAAGCGUGGGGAGCGAACAGG
rnacentral:rRNA from 1 species